CCCAAGUUGCUUUUGGUCCUGGGGUUUCAACACAGCAAGAAAAACCCUAAGACAGCUAUAAAAUGUAUGCUUUUUAACGUAAAAAAAAAUAAGGUGAGGGGAUUAGCAAUUUUAGGUGGCUGAGUGCUGAUUCAAGACUAGGCUAAUGUGACGCAUUACCAUACUCCAAGCACUCAGGAGGCUGAGGCAGGAGGAUGCUGACUUUGAGGCCAGCUUGAACUACAGAGCAAAGCUCUGCCCUGAAUGAACAAAAGAAAAGGAAAAAGUAGGUCUCAGAGAUAUUUUUUAUUCCUUUUUUCCCCUGGACAUCUUCCUUGUAAGCAGUCACUGGGAGGUAAAGCUAGUCAAUUUCCAGUGAGAUUCCUCACACUGGGACGGAGAUGAGAAGGAAGCUCUAAAGACAGAGGACUCCAGCCAGGUGCUGAUUGAUCUCUGGUGGGAGCUAAGCGAAGGCGGCUCUCAGAGCAUGAGCGCAAAACCCAGUUUCUAAAACCUCGCACUUGACCAAAUGGGAGGCCCUCCUCUGCUCAGCAUCGUUGACCUCUGUCUUGAUAACUCAGCUCUGGCAUGACUCCUUCCAGAACCUCCCUGGGUAGAAGGAGCUGGUGUCCUAGAACAAAGUUCUGUGCAGAGGACAGCAUCUGCUCAGAUUCCCCAGGAACCAAGACUUCAGGACCUGGGAGCUCAGCCACUGAGGCUGACCUGGCUGGACCAUUCCAGAAGGAAAGAAGAAAUGGAAAUCAAGCACACCUCUGAAACAGUCUCAAGAACACAGCCACACAGCUACGAGACCAUCACAGUUAUACACUUCAAGGGCUAGGGGGUCAGUUCCCUCUCUAGUGCAUAAACUAAAUCUGGUCCAAGUCUGUUUAGUCAAUCAAGUUUUAUUGGGGCCCAUAAAGUUUUAUGGUGUCUUGGUUAACUGCAAUUGUCAACUUGACACCUAGAACUAUUAGGUGGGGGGAGGGACUCUCAACUGAAGAAUUGCCUGGGCCAGAUUGGACAUGUCUGGGGGGGGUCUUGAUUAUAAGUUGGUGGAUGAGGGUUCAGCUGGGGUGCACCAUUCCCUAGGCCUUGGUCCUGAACUGUGUAUGAAGGCUAGCUGAGCAUAAGCCUUCUUGACAGGCAGCAAGCAGCCUCUUCCCUGGUUCCUGCUCCACUUCCUUGGGUGUGAGUGAGUUUCUGCAGGUUUUACAGCUCCCAAUAAAACAAACAGUUGCUUAAAAGCCCAAGCAUACUGACUUACAGAGAACAAAAAUCACCAGACAACAUACAUAGUAUGAGCUUUCAUACACAAACAGUAUUUCAACAUAAAUGUGUAUAAAUACAUGACUAUCAAUGCUUA